GAGAUUUGAGGGCAAGAUGGCCGUUGGUUUGAACUCAAAGCUUUCAUCUUCUCUUCGCCAAGUCUUUCCCUUGGCUGGACAUCUUGGGAAAUAUCUGACAAACAUGCGGUCUGAGAAGUACUGCCCAUCACCAGAGGAAGCUAUAACAAAGGCUCAUUUGGAUGUGCCAGCCGUCUGUGUGGUUACCGCCUGCCAGCAAAUCGAUGCCUCUCUUGAGUCAGAGGAGUCACCCUGUUCUGGCCAAGGCACUGCUGCUCUGAUGCCCACAGCAUGUCUGUAUUUGGAUAGAAACUGAAAUGAAAACAAGACCUCGGAGAACCUCACAGAGGGCAAGAGCUCAAUUUAGGGAUGUGAAAGUCAUUUUACAUCACACAGAGGAAAGGAGUAAUCUGGGAGACUGAGAAAAAGGCGGAGGAGGGAUGAGAAGGCAGCAGCACAGGCAGCAGAUGGACAAAUAGAGUGACACAGUGAGACAGCACGGGUGAGAGAGCAGCAGACAGAGAAAGGGCCUCCUCCAGGAUAAAGAAACGUGGACACUUCUCAGCCAGCAUUGACAGCUGAGGUAAACAGCAACGGACUGACAUUCAUAAAUGGACAGGAGCCAGAGUUGUUUGUCCUACAGUGGCCUACAGCGGAAUAAAGCUGAUCAUUUU